CGAGACUCAAGAAUGACUUAGCGUGACUCACUCCUCCUUCUCUUCCCUCAAGGCCAGGAUGACGCCUCCAGGGAUUCAGAGCACAUUUGAAUCAUAGCAGGAGGUCGAGAAGGAGGAAAUGAGAGGCACAGAGUGAAGACUGAAGACACCGUAGAAGGAAGCCAAGCGCUGCAGAAGGGAGCAAAGCAGUGGAGCAAAGCAGCGGAGAAGGGAAUGGAGCCAAGGCCGCGGAGAUGAAAGUGGAGCUGAGGCAGCGACAUGUUCACAGGGAGACAGGCAGAUAUGUAAAUAACUCAGGCUCCAGUGCUAGGUGCUAUAGAAGAUCUGAGAAGGAUGUGUGAUCCUGACUGAACCAUCCUAUCUUCACCCAGAGCACUAAUUUGGGUAUGUAUACCCGGAGGCAGACGAGAGAGAUGAAGAUUGCAGAUGUAACUCAAAGGAAUACACUGAGCAAUCCUAUAUAAUAAAAGCCUAAUAUGCUAA